UACGUAGGGGGCGAGCGUUGUCCGGAUUUAUUGGGCGUAAAGAGCUCGUAGGCGGCUUAGCAAGUCGGGUGUGAAAACUCGAGGCUCAACCUCGAGACGCCGGUGGAAACCGUAAAGCUAGAGUCCGGAAGAGGAGAGUGGAAUUCCUGGUGUAGCGGUGAAAUGCGUAGAUAUCUGGAGGAACACCGGUGGCGAAGGCGGCAUCCUGGACCAACACUGACGCUGAGGAGACGAAAGGCCAGGGGAGACAA
rnacentral:rRNA from 1 species